rnacentral:rRNA from 1 species
GCGGUGGAUGAUGUGGUUUAAUUCGAUGCAACGCGAAAACCUUACCCACCUUUGACAUGUACGGAAGCCUUUAGAGAUAGAGGCGUGCUUGAAAGAGAGCCGUAACACAGGUGCUGCAUGGCUGUCGUCAGCUCGUGUCGUGAGAUGUUGGGUUAAGUCCCGCAACGAGCGCAACCCUUGUCAUUAGUUGCUACAUUCAGUUGGGCACUCUAAUGAGACUGCCGGUGACAAGCCGGAGGAAGGUGGGGAUGACGUCAAGUCCUCAUGGCCCUUAUAGGUGGGGCUACACACGUCAUACAAUGGCUGGUACAAAGGGUUGCCAACCCGCGAGGGGGAGCUAAUCCCAUAAAGCCAGUCGUAGUCCGGAUCGUAGUCUGCAACUCGACUACGUGAAGUCGGAAUCGCUAGUAAUCGUGGAUCAGAAUGUCACGGUGAAUACGUUCCCGGGUCUU